rnacentral:rRNA from 1 species
CGUACACUCCUACGGGAGGCAGCAGUGGGGAAUAUUGGACAAUGGGCGCAAGCCUGAUCCAGCCAUGCCGCGUGAGUGAUGAAGGCCCUAGGGUUGUAAAGCUCUUUCACCGGUGAAGAUAAUGACGGUAACCGGAGAAGAAGCCCCGGCUAACUUCGUGCCAGCAGCCGCGGUAAUACAAAGGGGGCUAGCGUUGUUCGGAUUUACUGGGCGUAAAGCGCACGUAGGCGGACUCUUAAGUCAGGUGUGAAAUCCCGGGGCUCAACCCCGGAACUGCCUUUGAUACUGGUAGUCUUGAGUUCGAGAGAGGUGAGUGGAAUUCCGAGUGUAGAGGUGAAAUUCGUAGAUAUUCGGAGGAACACCAGUGGCGAAGGCGGCUCACUGGCUCGAUACUGACGCUGAGGUGCGAAAGCGUGGGGAGCAAACAGGAUUAGAAACCCUUGUAGUCCCA